GAUGAACGCUGGCGGCGUGCCUAAUACAUGUAAGUCGAGCGAACUUACGAGAAGCUUGCUUCUCUGAUGUUAGCUGCGGACGGGUGAGUAACACGUGGAUUACCUACCUAUAAGACUGGGAUUACUCCGGGAAACCGGAGCUAAUACCUGAUAAUAUUUUGAACUGCUUGGUUCAAAAGUGAAAGACGCUCUUGCUGUCACUUAUCGACGGACCCGCGCUGCAUUAGCUAGUUGGUAAGGUAACGGCUUACUAAGGCAACGAUGCAUAGCCGACCUGAGAGGGUGAUCGGCCACACUGGAACGGAGACACGGUCCAGACUCCUACGGGAGGGAACAGUAGGGAAUCUUGAGCAAUGGGAGAAAGCCUGACAGAGCAACGGCGCGUGAGUGAGGAAGGUCUUCGGAUCAUAAAACACUGUUAUUAGGGAAGAACAUAGGUGUAAGUAACUGUGCACAUCUUGACGGUACCUUGUCAGAAAGCCACGGAUAACUUCGUG
rnacentral:rRNA from 1 species